AUUAGAUUUUAAGGCUAGGGUAAGGUUUUAGGUUUUUGGCGUUAGGGUUAAAAUCACUGUCCAAAACCUUUGUAGGAACUCUUUUCCAACCUUUUGGAGUUAGUUAGACCAAAAAAAAAAGAAAAAUGAAAAAAAUAUUAUUGGGGGUUUUCGGGGUUCCUGAAUGUAAUACCCGGGUAUUAGAUUUUAAGGCUAGGGUAAGGUUUAAGGUUUUUGGCGUUAGGGUUAAAAUCACUGUCCAAAACCUUUGCAGGAACUCUUUUUCAACCUUUUGGAGUUAGUUAGACCAAAAAAAAAUGAAAAAUGAAAAAAAAAAAUAUUUGGGGUUUACGGGCUUCCUGAAUGUAAUACCCGGGUAUUAGAUUUUAAGGCCAGGGUAAGGUUUAAGUUUUUCUGGCGUUAGGGUUAAAAUCACCGUCCAAAACCUUUGUAGGAACUCUUUUCCAAACUUUUGGAGUUAGUUAGACCAAAAAAAAAAGAAAAAUGAAAAAAAAAUAUAUGGGGUGUUCAGGCUUCCUAAAAGUAAUACCUGGGUAUUAGGUUAUGGGGCUAUGGUAAGGUUUAAGGUUUUUGGCGUUAGGGUUAAAAUCACUGUCCAAAACCUUUGUAGGAACUCUUUUCCAACCUUUUGGAGUUGGUUACACCAAAAAAAAUGUAAAAUGAAAAAAAAAAAUAUUUGGGGUGUUCGGGCUUCCUGAAAGUAAUACCCAGGUAUUAGAUUUUAAGGCCAGGGUAAGGUUUAAGUUUUUUGGCGUUAGGGUUAAAAUCACUGUCCAAAACCUUUGUAGGAACACUUUUCCAACCUUUUGGAGUUGGUUAGACCAAAAAAAAAAGAAAAAUGAAAAAAAAAUAUUUGGGGUGUUCAGGCUUCCUAAAAGUAAUACCCAGGUAUUAGGUUAUGGGGCUAUGGUAAGGUUUAAGUUUUUUGGCGUUAGGGUUAAAAUCACUGUCCAAAACCUUUGUAGGAACUCUUUUCCAACCUUUUGGAGUUAGUUAGACCAAAAAAAAAUGAAAAAUUAAAAAACAAUAUUUGGGGUUUUCGGGGUUCCUGAAUGUAAUACCCGGGUAUUAGAUUUUGAGGCUAGGGUAAGGUUUAAGUUUUUUGGCAUUAGGGUUAAAAUCACUGUCCAAAACCUUUGUAGGAACUCUUUUCCAACCUUUUGGAGUUGGUUACACCAACAAAAAUGUAAAAUGAAGAAAAAAAUAUUUGGGGUGUUCAGGCUUCCUGAAGGUAAUACCAGGGUAUUAGAUUUUAAGGCUAGGGUAAGGUUUAAGGUUUUUGGCGUUAGGGUUAAAAUCACUGUCCAAAACCUUUGUAGGAACUCUUUUCCAACCUUUUGGAGUUAGUUAAACCAAAAAAAAAAAGAAAAAUGAAAAAAUAUAUAUUUGGGGUUUUCGGGCUUCCUGAAUGUAAUACCCGGGUAUUAGAUUUUAAGGCUAGGGUAAGGUUUAAGUUUUUUGGCGUUAGGGUUAAAAUCACUGUCCAAAACCUUUGUAGGAACUCUUUUCCAACCUUUUGGAGUUAGUUAGACCAAAAAAAGAAUGAAAAAUAAAAUAAAAAAUUUUGGGGGUUUCCCGGCUUCCUGAAUGUAAUACCCGGGUAUUAGAUUUUAAGGCCAGGGUAAGGUUUAAGUUUUUUGGCAUUAGGGUUAAAAUCACUGUCCAAAACCUUUGUAGGAACUCUUUUCCAACCUUUUGGAGUUAGUUAGACCAAAAAAAAAGAAAAAUGAAAAAAAAUUAUUGGGGUGUUCAGGCUUCCUAAAAGUAAUACCUGGGUAUUAGGUUAUGGGGCUAGGGUAAGGUUUAAGGUUUUUGGCGUUAGGGUCAAAAUCACUGUCCAAAACCUUUGUAGGAACUCUUUUCCAACCUUUUGGAGUUAGUUCGACCAAAAAAAAAUGAAAAAUGAAAAAAAAAUAUUUGGGGUGUUCAGGCUUCCUAAAAGUAAUACCCGGGUAUUAGGUUAUGGGGCUAUGGUAAGGUUUAACGUUUUGGCGUUAGGUUUAAAAUCACUGUCCAAAACCUUUGUAGGAACUCUUUUCCAACCUUUUGGAGUCAGUUCGACCAAAAAAAAAUGAAAAAUGAAAAAAAAAUAUUUUGGGUGUUCGGGCUUCCUGAAGGUAAUACCCGGGUAUUAGAUUUUAAGGCUAGGGUAAGGUUUAAGGUUUUUGGCGUUAGGGUUAAAAUCACUGUCCAAAACCUUUGUAGGAACUCUUUUCCAACCUUUUGGAGUUAGUUAGACCAAAAAAAAAGAAAAAUGAAAAAAAAAUAUUUGGGGUGUUCAGGCUUCCUAAAAGUAAUACCCGGGUAUUAGGUUAUGGGGCUAUGGUAAGGUUUAACGUUUUGGCGUUAGGUUUAAAAUCACUGUCCAAAACCUUUGUAGGAACUCUUUUCCAACCUUUUGGAGUUAGUUUGACCAAAAAAAAAGAAAAAUGAAAAAAAAAUAUUUGGGGUGUUCAGGCUUCCUAAAAGUAAUACCCGGGUAUUAGGUUAUGGGGCUAUGGUAAGGUUUAACGUUUUGGCGUUAGGUUUAAAAUCACUGUCCAAAACCUUUGUAGGAACUCUUUUCCAACCUUUUGGAGUUAGUUAGACCAAAAAAAAAAGAAAAAUGAAAAAAAAAAUAUUUGGGGUGUUCGGGCUUCCUGAAGGUAAUACCCGGGAAUUAGGUUAUGGGGCUAUGGUAAGUUUUAAGGUUUUUGGCGUUAGGGUUAAAAUCACUGUCCAAAACCUUUGUAGGAACUCUUUUCCAACCUUUUGGAGUUGGUUACACCAACAAAAAUGUAAAAUAAAGAAAAAAAUAUUUUGGGUGUUCGGGCUUCCUGAAGGUAAUACCCGGGUAUUAGAUUUUAAGGCUAGGGUAAGGUUUAAGGUUUUUGGCGUUAGGGUUAAAAUCACUGUCCAAAACCUUUGUAGGAACUCUUUUCCAACCUUUUGGAGUUAGUUAGACCAAAAAAAAAAGAAAAAUGAAAAAAAAAUAUUUGGGGUGUUCAGGCUUCCUUAAUGUAAUACCCUUAAUGUAAUAAUUAGAUUUUAAUGCCAGGGUAAGGUUUAAGUUUUUCGGCGUUAGGGUUAAAAUCACUGUCCAAAACCUUUGUAGGAACUCUUUUCCAACCUUUUGGAGUUAGUUAGACCAAAAAAAAAAGAAAAAUGAAAAAAAAAAUAUUUGGGGUUUUCGGGCUUCCUGAAUGUAAUACCCGGGUAUUAGAUUUUAAGGCUAGGGUAAGGUUUAAGUUUUUUGGCGUUAGGGUUAAAAUCACUGUCCAAAACCUUUGUAGGAACUCUUUUCCAACCUUUUGGAGUUGGUUACACCAACAAAAAUGUAAAAUGAAAAAAAAAUAUUUGGGGUGUUCGGGCUUCCUGAAGGUAAUACCCGGGAAUUAGGUUAUGGGGCUAUGGUAAGUUUUAAGGUUUUUGGCGUUAGGGUUAAAAUCACUGUCCAAAACCUUUGUAGGAACUCUUUUCCAACCUUUUGGAGUUGGUUACACCAACAAAAAUGUAAAAUAAAGAAAAAAAUAUUUUGGGUGUUCGGGCUUCCUGAAGGUAAUACCCGGGUAUUAGAUUUUAAGGCUAGGGUAAGGUUUAAGGUUUUUGGCGUUAGGGUUAAAAUCACUGUCCAAAACCUUUGUAGGAACUCUUUUCCAACCUUUUGGAGUUAGUUAGACCAAAAAAAAAAGAAAAAUGAAAAAAAAAAUUAUUGGGGGUUUUCGGGCUCCCUGAAAGUAAUACCCGGGUAUUAGGUUUUGGGACUAGGGAAAGGUUUAAGGUUUUUGGCGAUAGGGUUAAAAUCACUGUCCAAAACCUUUGUAGGAACUCUUUUCCAACCUUUUGGAGUUAGUUAGACCAAAAAAAAAAAGAAAAAUGAAAAAAAAAUAUUUGGGGUGUUCAGGCUUCCUAAAGGUAAUACCCGGGUAUUAGGUUAUGGGGCUAUGGUAAGGUUUAAGGUUUUUGGCGUUAGGGUUAAAAUCACUGUCCAAAACCUUUGUAGGAACUCUUUUCCAACCUUUUGGAGUUGGUUACACCAACAAAAAUGUAAAAUAAAGAAAAAAAUAUUUUGGGUGUUCGGGCUUCCUGAAGGUAAUACCCGGGUAUUAGGUUUUGGGACUAGGGAAAGGUUUAAGGUUUUUGGCGAUAGGGUUAAAAUCACUGUCCAAAACCUUUGUAGGAACUCUUUUCCAACCUUUUGGAGUUAGUUAGACCAAAAAAAAAGAAAAAGAAAAAAAAAAUAUUUGGGGUGUUCAGGCUUCCUAAAAGUAAUACCCGGGUAUUAGGUUAUGGGGCUAUGGUAAGGUUUAAGGUUUUUGGCGUUAGGGUUAAAAUCACUGUCCAAAACCUUUGUAGGAACUCUUUUUCAACCUUUUGGAGUUGGUUACACCAACAAAAAUGUAAAAUAAAGAAAAAAAUAUUUUGGGUGUUCGGGCUUCCUGAAGGUAAUACCUGGGUAUUAGAUUUUAAGGCUAGGGUAAGGUUUAAGGUUUUUGGCGUUAGGGUUAAAAUCACUGUCCAAAACCUUUGUAGGAACUCUUUUCCAACCUUUUGGAGUUAGUUAGACCAAAAAAAAUGAAAAAAGAAAAAAAAAAAUAUUUGGGGUUUUCGGGCUUCCUGGAAGUAAUACCCCAGUAUUAAGUUUUGGGGCUAGAAAAAGGUUUAAGGUUUUUGGCGUUAGGGUUAAAAACACUGUCCAAAACCUUUGUAGGAACUCUUUUCCAACCUUUUGGAGUUAGUUAGACAAAAAAAAAAGAAUAAUGAAAAAAAAAUAUUUGGGGUGAUCAGGCUUCCUUAUUGUAAUACCCGGGUAUUAGAUUUUAAUGCCAGGGUUAGGUUUAAGUUUUUUGGCGUUAGGGUUAAAAUCACUGUCCAAAACCUUUGUAGGAACUCUUUUCCAACCUUUUGGAGUUAGUUAGACCAAAAAAAAAAAGAAAAAUGAAAAAAAAAUAUUUGGGGUGUUCAGGCUUCCUGAAGGUAGCCCGAAGGUAGAUUUUAAGGCUAGGGUAAGGUUUAAGGUUUUUGGCGUCAGGGUUAAAAUCACUGUCCAAAACCUCUGUAGGAACUCUUAUCCAACCUUUUGGAGUUGGUUACACCAACAAAAAUGUAAAAUGAAGAAAAAAAUAUUUGGGGUGUUCAGGCUUCCUGAAGGUAAUACCCGGGUAUUAGAUUUCAAGGCUAGGGUAAGGUUUAAGGUUUUUGGCGUAAGGGUUAAAAUCACUGUCCAAAACCUUUGUAGGAACUCUUUUCCAACCUUUUGGAGUUAGUUAGACCAAAAAAUAUGAAAAAAAAAAAAAUAUUUUGGGGGUUUUCGGGCUCCUGAAAGUAAUACCCAGGUAUUAGGUUUUGGGACUAGGGAGAGGUUUAAGGUUUUUGCCAUUAGGGUUAAAAUCACUGUCCAAAACCUUUGUAGGAACUCUUUUCCAACCUUUUGGAGUUAGUUAGACCAAAAAAAAAAAAAGAAAAAUGAAAAAAAAAUAUUUGGGGUGUUCAGGCUCCCUAAAAGUAAUACCCGGGUAUUAGGUUAUGGGGCUAUGGUAAGGUUUAAGGUUUUUGGCGUUAGGGUUAAAAUCACUGUCCAAAACCUUUGUAGGAACUCUUUUCCAACCUUUUGGAGUUGGUUACACCAACAAAAAUGUAAAAUGAAGAAAAAAAUAUUUGGGGUGUUCAGGCUUCCUGAAGGUAGCCCGAAGGUAGAUUUCAAGGCUAGGGUAAGGUUUAAGGUUUUUGGCGUAAGGGUUAAAAUCACUGUCCAAAACCUUUGUAGGAACUCUUUUCCAACCUGUUGGAGUUAGUUAGACCAAAAAAUAUGAAAAAAGAAAAAAAGUAUUUGUGGGGGUUUUCGGGCUCCCUGAAAGUAAUACCCAGGUAUUAGGUUUUGGGACUAGGGAGAGGUUUAAGGUUUUUGGCAUUAGGGUUAAAAUCACUGUCCAAAACCUUUGUAGGAACUCUUUUCCAACCUUUUGGAGUUAGUUAGACCAAAAAAAAAAAGAAAAAUGAAAAAAAAAUAUUUGGGGUGUUCAGGCUUCCUAAAAGUAAUACCCGGGUAUUAGGUUAUGGGGCUAAGGUAAGGUUUAAGGUUUUUGGCGUUAGGGUUAAAAUCACUGUCCAAAACCUUUGUAGGAAAUCUUUUCCAACCUUUUGGAGUUAGUUAGACCAAAAAAAAAUGAAAAAUGAAAAAACAAUAUUUGGGGUUUUCGGGGUUCCUGAAUGUAAUACCCGGGUAUUAGAUUUUAAAGCUAGGGAAAGGUUUAAGUUUUUUGGCAUUAGGGUUAAAAUCACUGUCCAAAACCUUUGUAGGAACUCUUUUCCAACCUUUUGGAGUUGGUUACACCAACAAAAAGUGUAAAAUGAAGAAAAAAAUAUUUGGCGUGUUCAGGCUUCCUGAAUGUAAUACCCGGGUAUUAGAUUUUAAGGCUAGGGUAAGGUUUAAGGUUUUUGGCGUUAGGGUUAAAAUCACUGUCCAAAACCUUUGCAGGAACUCUUUUUCAACCUUUUGGAGUUAGUUAGACCAAAAAAAAUGAAAAAUGAAAAAAAAAAUAUUUGGGGUUUACGGGCUUCCUGAAUGUAAUACCCGGGUAUUAGAUUUUAAGGCCAGGGUAAGGUUUAAGUUUUUCUGGCGUUAGGGUUAAAAUCAAAGUCCAAAACCUUUGUAGGAACUCUAUUCCAACCUUUUGGAGUUGGUUACACCAAAAAAAAAAAAGAAAAAUGGAAAAAAAAUAUUUGGGGUGUUCAGGCUUCCUAAAAGUAAUACCCGGGUAUUAGGUUAUGGGGCUAGGGUAAGGUUUAAGGUUUUUGGCGUUAGGGUUGAAAUCACUGUCCAAAACCUUUGUAGGAACUCUUUUCCAACCUUUUGGAGUUGGUUACACCAAAAAAAAUGUAAAAUGAAAAAAAAAAAUAUUUGGGGUGUUCGGGCUUCCUGAAAGUAAUACCCAGGUAUUAGAUUUUAAGGCCAGGGUAAGGUUUAAGGUUUUUGGCGUUAGGGUUAAAAUCACUGUCCAAAACCUUUGUAGGAACUCUUUUCCAACCUUUUGGAGUUAGUUAGACCAAAAAAAAUGAAAAAUGAAAAAAAAAUAUUUGGGGUUUCCGGGCUUCCUUAAUGUAAUACCCGGGUAUUAGAUUUUAAGGCCAGGGUAAGGUUUAAGGUUUUUGGCGUUAGGGUUAAAAUCACUGUCCAAAACCUUUGUAGGAACUCUUUUCCAACCUUUUGGAGUUGGUUACACCAAAAAAAAUGUAAAAUGAAAAAAAUAUAUAUUUGGGGUGUUCGGGCUUCCUGAAAGUAAUACCCAGGUAUUAGAUUUUAAGGCCAGGGUAAGGUUUAAGUUUUUUGGCGUUAGGGUUAAAAUCACUGUCCAAAACCUUUGUAGGAACACUUUUCCAACCUUUUUGAGUUGGUUAGACCAAAAAAAAAGAAAAAUGAAAAAAAAAUAUUUGGGGUGUUCAGGCUUCCUAAAAGUAAUACCCGGGUAUUAGGUUAUGGGGCUAUGGUAAGGUUUAAGGUUUUUGGCGUUAGGGUUAAAAUCACUGUCCAAAACCUUUGUAGGAACUCUUUUCCAACCUUUUGGAGUUAGUUAGACCAAAAAAAAAUGAAAAAUUAAAAAACAAUAUUUGGGGUUUUCGGGGUUCCUGAAUGUAAUACCCGGGUAUUAGAUUUUGAGGCUAGGGUAAGGUUUAAGUUUUUUGGCAUUAGGGUUAAAAUCACUGUCCAAAACCUUUGUAGGAACUCUUUUCCAACCUUUUGGAGUUGGUUACACCAACAAAAAUGUAAAAUGAAGAAAAAAAUAUUUGGGGUGUUCAGGCUUCCUGAAGGUAAUACCCGGGUAUUAGGUUUUGGGACUAGGGAAAGGUUUAAGGUUUUUGGCGUUAGGGUUAAAAUCACUGUCCAAAACCUUUGUAGGAACUCUUUUCCAACCUUUUGGAGUUAGUUAGACCAAAAAAUAAAAAAAGAAAAAUGAAAAAAAGAAUAUUUGGGGUGUUCAGGCUUCCUAAAAGUAAUACCCGGGUAUUAGGUUAUGGGGCUAGGGUAAGGUUUAAGGUUUUUGGCGUUAGGGUUGAAAUCACUGUCCAAAACCUUUGUAGGAACUCUUUUUUCAACCUUUUGGAGUUAGUUAGACCAAAAAAAAAUGAAAAAUGAAAAAAAAAAUAUUUGGGGUUUUCGGGCUUCCUGAAUGUAAUACCCGGGUAUUAGAUUUUAAGGCCAGGGUAAGGUUUAAGUUUUUUGGCGUUAGGGUUAAAAUCACUGUCCAAAACCUUUGUAGGAACUCUUUUUCAACCUUUUGGAGUUGGUUACACCAACAAAAAUGUAAAAUAAAGAAAAAAAUAUUUUGGGUGUUCGGGCUUCCUGAAGGUAAUACCCGGGUAUUAGAUUUUAAGGCUAGGGUAAGGUUUAAGGUUUUUGGCGUUAGGGUUAAAAUCACUGUCCAAAACCUUUGUAGGAACUCUUUUCCAACCUUUUGGAGUUAGUUAGACCAAAAAAAAUGAAAAAAGAAAAAAAAAUUAUUGGGGGUUUUCGGGCUCCCUGAAAGUAAUACCCGGGUAUUAGGUUUUGGGACUAGGGAAAGGUUUAAGGUUUUUGGCGUUAGGGUUAAAAUCACUGUCCAAAACCUUUGUAGGAACUCUUUUCCAACCUUUUGGAGUUAGUUAGACAAAAAAAAAAGAAUAAUGAAAAAAAAAUAUUUGGGGUGAUCAGGCUUCCUUAUUGUAAUACCCGGGUAUUAGAUUUUAAUGCCAGGGUUAGGUUUAAGUUUUUUGGCGUUAGGGUUAAAAUCACUGUCCAAAACCUUUGUAGGAACUCUUUUCCAACCUUUUGGAGUUAGUUAGACCAAAAAAAAAAAGAAAAAUGAAAAAAAAAUAUUUGGGGUGUUCAGGCUUCCUGAAGGUAGCCCGAAGGUAGAUUUUAAGGCUAGGGUAAGGUUUAAGGUUUUUGGCGUCAGGGUUAAAAUCACUGUCCAAAACCUCUGUAGGAACUCUUAUCCAACCUUUUGGAGUUGGUUACACCAACAAAAAUGUAAAAUGAAGAAAAAAAUAUUUGGGGUGUUCAGGCUUCCUGAAGGUAAUACCCGGGUAUUAGAUUUCAAGGCUAGGGUAAGGUUUAAGGUUUUUGGCGUAAGGGUUAAAAUCACUGUCCAAAACCUUUGUAGGAACUCUUUUCCAACCUUUUGGAGUUAGUUAGACCAAAAAAUAUGAAAAAAGAAAAAAAGUAUUUGUGGGGGUUUUCGGGCUCCCUGAAAGUAAUACCCAGGUAUUAGGUUUUGGGACUAGGGAGAGGUUUAAGGUUUUUGCCAUUAGGGUUAAAAUCACUGUCCAAAACCUUUGUAGGAACUCUUUUCCAACCUUUUGGAGUUAGUUAGACCAAAAAAAAAAAAAGAAAAAUGAAAAAAAAAUAUUUGGGGUGUUCAGGCUCCCUAAAAGUAAUACCCGGGUAUUAGGUUAUGGGGCUAUGGUAAGGUUUAAGGUUUUUGGCGUUAGGGUUAAAAUCACUGUCCAAAACCUUUGUAGGAACUCUUUUCCAACCUUUUGGAGUUGGUUACACCAACAAAAAUGUAAAAUGAAGAAAAAAAUAUUUGGGGUGUUCAGGCUUCCUGAAGGUAGCCCGAAGGUAGAUUUCAAGGCUAGGGUAAGGUUUAAGGUUUUUGGCGUAAGGGUUAAAAUCACUGUCCAAAACCUUUGUAGGAACUCUUUUCCAACUUGUUGGAGUUAGUUAGACCAAAAAAUAUGAAAAAAGAAAAAAAGUAUUUGUUGGGGUUUUCGGGCUCCCUGAAAGUAAUACCCAGGUAUUAGGUUUUGGGACUAGGGAGAGGUUUAAGGUUUUUGGCAUUAGGGUUAAAAUCACUGUCCAAAACCUUUGUAGGAACUCUUUUCCAACCUUUUGGAGUUAGUUAGACCAAAAAAAAAAAGAAAAAUGAAAAAAAAAUAUUUGGGGUGUUCAGGCUUCCUAAAAGUAAUACCCGGGUAUUAGGUUAUGGGGCUAAGGUAAGGUUUAAGGUUUUUGGCGUUAGGGUUAAAAUCACUGUCCAAAACCUUUGUAGGAAAUCUUUUCCAACCUUUUGGAGUUAGUUAGACCAAAAAAAAAUGAAAAAUGAAAAAACAAUAUUUGGGGUUUUCGGGGUUCCUGAAUGUAAUACCCGGGUAUUAGAUUUUAAGGCUAGGGAAAGGUUUAAGUUUUUUGGCAUUAGGGUUAAAAUCACUGUCCAAAACCUUUGUAGGAACUCUUUUCCAACCUUUUGGAGUUGGUUACACCAACAAAAAGUGUAAAAUAAAGAAAAAAAUAUUUUGGGUGUUCGGGCUUCCUGAAGGUAAUACCCGGGUAUUAGAUUUUAAGGCUAGGGUAAGGUUUAAGGUUUUUGGCGUUAGGGUUAAAAUCACUGUCCAAAACCUUUGUAGGAACUCUUUUCCAACCUUUUGGAGUUAGUUAGACCAAAAAAAAUGAAAAAAGAAAAAAAAAAAUAUUGGGGGUUUUCGGGCUCCCUGAAAGUAAUACCCGGGUAUUAGGUUUUGGGACUAGGGAAAGGUUUAAGGUUUUUGGCGUUAGGGUUAAAAUCACUGUCCAAAACCUUUGUAGGAACUCUUUUCCAACCUUUUGGAGUUAGUUAGACAAAAAAAAGAAUUUAUAAUGAAAAAAAAAUAUUUGGGGUGAUCAGGCUUCCUUAUUGUAAUACCCGGGUAUUAGAUUUUAAUGCCAGGGUUAGGUUUAAGUUUUUUGGCGUUAGGGUUAAAAUCACUGUCCAAAACCUUUGUAGGAACUCUUUUCCAACCUUUUGGAGUUAGUUAGACCAAAAAAAAAAAAAAAUGAAAAAAAAAUAUUUGGGGUGUUCAGGCUUCCUGAAGUAAUACCCGGGUAUUAGUUAAGGGCUAGGGUAAGGUUUAAGGUUUUUGGCGUCAGGGUUAAAAUCACUGUCCAAAACCUCUGUAGGAACUCUUAUCCAACCUUUUGGAGUUGGUUACACCAACAAAAAUGUAAAAUGAAGAAAAAAAUAUUUGGGGUGUUCAGGCUUCCUGAAGGUAAUACCCGGGUAUUAGAUUUCAAGGCUAGGGUAAGGUUUAAGGUUUUUGGCGUAAGGGUUAAAAUCACUGUCCAAAACCUUUGUAGGAACUCUUUUCCAACCUUUUGGAGUUAGUUAGACCAAAAAAUAUGAAAAAAGAAAAAAAGUAUUUGUGGGGGUUUUCGGGCUCCCUGAAAGUAAUACCCAGGUAUUAGGUUUUGGGACUAGGGAGAGGUUUAAGGUUUUUGGCAUUAGGGUUAAAAUCACUGUCCAAAACCUUUGUAGGAACUCUUUUCCAACCUUUUGGAGUUAGUUAGACCAAAAAAAAAAAGAAAAAUGAAAAAAAAAUAUUUGGGGUGUUCAGGCUUCCUAAAAGUAAUACCCGGGUAUUAGGUUAUGGGGCUAUGGUAAGGUUUAAGGUUUUUGGCGUUAGGGUUAAAAUCACUGUCCAAAACCUUUGUAGGAACUCUUUUCCAACCUUUUGGAGUUGGUUACACCAACAAAAAUGUAAAAUGAAGAAAAAAAUAUUUGGGGUGUUCAGGCUUCCUGAAGGUAGCCCGAAGGUAGAUUUCAAGGCUAGGGUAAGGUUUAAGGUUUUUGGCGUAAGGGUUAAAAUCACUGUCCAAAACCUUUGUAGGAACUCUUUUCCAACCUGUUGGAGUUAGUUAGACCAAAAAAUAUGAAAAAAGAAAAAAAGUAUUUGUGGGGGUUUUCGGGCUCCCUGAAAGUAAUACCCAGGUAUUAGGUUUUGGGACUAGGGAGAGGUUUAAGGUUUUUGGCAUUAGGGUUAAAAUCACUGUCCAAAACCUUUGUAGGAACUCUUUUCCAACCUUUUGGAGUUAGUUAGACCAAAAAAAAAAGAAAAAUGAAAAAAAAAUAUUUGGGGUGUUCAGGCUUCCUAAAAGUAAUACCCGGGUAUUAGGUUAUGGGGCUAGGUAAGGUUUAAGGUUUUUGGCGUUAGGGUUAAAAUCACUGUCCAAAACCUUUGUAGGAACUCUUUUCCAACCUUUUGGAGUUAGUUAGACCAAAAAAAAAUGAAAAAUGAAAAAACAAUAUUUGGGGUUUUCGGGUUCCUGAAUGUAAUACCCGGGUAUUAGAUUUUAAAGCUAGGGAAAGGUUUAAGUUUUUUGGCAUUAGGGUUAAAAUCACUGUCCAAAACCUUUGUAGGAACUCUUUUCCAACCUUUUGGAGUUGGUUACACCAACAAAAAGUGUAAAAUGAAGAAAAAAAUAUUUGGCGUGUUCAGGCUUCCUGAAUGUAAUACCCGGGUAUUAGAUUUUAAGGCUAGGGUAAGGUUUAAGGUUUUUGGCGUUAGGGUUAAAAUCACUGUCCAAAACCUUUGCAGGAACUCUUUUUCAACCUUUUGGAGUUAGUUAGACCAAAAAAAAAUGAAAAAUGAAAAAAAAAAUAUUUGGGGUUUACGGGCUUCCUGAAUGUAAUACCCGGGUAUUAGAUUUUAAGGCCAGGGUAAGGUUUAAGUUUUUCUGGCGUUAGGGUUAAAAUCAAAGUCCAAAACCUUUGUAGGAACUCUAUUCCAAACUUUUGGAGUUGGUUACACCAAAAAAAAAAAAGAAAAAUGGAAUAAAAAUAUUUGGGGUGUUCAGGCUUCCUAAAAGUAAUACCCGGGUAUUAAGUUAUGGGGCUAGGGUAAGGUUUAAGGUUUUUGGCGUUAGGGUUGAAAUCACUGUCCAAAACCUUUGUAGGAACUCUUUUCCAACCUUUUGGAGUUGGUUACACCAAAAAAAAUGUAAAAUGAAAAAAAAAAAUAUUUGGGGUGUUCGGGCUUCCUGAAAGUAAUACCCAGGUAUUAGAUUUUAAGGCCAGGGUAAGGUUUAAGGUUUUUGGCGUUAGGGUUAAAAUCACUGUCCAAAACCUUUGUAGGAACUCUUUUCCAACCUUUUGGAGUUAGUUCGACCAAAAAAAAAUGAAAAAUGAAAAAAAAAUAUUUGGGGUUUCCGGGCUUCCUUAAUGUAAUACCCGGGUAUUAGAUUUUAAGGCCAGGGUAAGGUUUAAGGUUUUUGGCGUUAGGGUUAAAAUCACUGUCCAAAACCUUUGUAGGAACUCUUUUCCAACCUUUUGGAGUUGGUUACACCAAAAAAAAUGUAAAAUGAAAAAAAUAUAUAUUUGGGGUGUUCGGGCUUCCUGAAAGUAAUACCCAGGAAUUAGAUUUUAAGGCCAGGGUAAGGUUUAAGUUUUUUGGCGUUAGGGUUAAAAUCACUGUCCAAAACCUUUGUAGGAACACUUUUCCAACCUUUUGGAGUUGGUUAGACCAAAAAAAAAAGAAAAAUGAAAAAAAAAUAUUUGGGGUGUUCAGGCUUGCUAAAAGUAAUACCCAGGUUAUAGGUUAUGGGGCUAUGGUAAGGUUUAAGGUUUUUGGCGUUAGGGUUAAAAUCACUGUCCAAAACCUUUGUAGGAACUCUUUUCCAACCUUUUGGAGUUAGUUAGACCAAAAAAAAAUGAAAAAUUAAAAAACAAUAUUUGGGGUUUUCGGGGUUCCUUAAUGUAAUACCCGGGUAUUAGAUUUUGAGGCUAGGGUAAGGUUUAAGUUUUUUGGCAUUAGGGUUAAAAUCACUGUCCAAAACCUUUGUAGGAACUCUUUUCCAACCUUUUGGAGUUGGUUACACCAACAAAAAUGUAAAAUGAAGAAAAAAAUAUUUGGGGUGUUCAGGCUUCCUUAAGGUAAUACCCGGGUAUUAGGUUUUGGGACUAGGGAAAGGUUUAAGGUUUUUGGCGUUAGGGUUAAAAUCACUGUCCAAAACCUUUGUAGGAACUCUUUUCCAACCUUUUGGAGUUAGUUAGACCAAAAAAUAAAAAAAGAAAAAUGAAAAAAAGAAUAUUUGGGGUGUUCAGGCUUCCUAAAAGUAAUACCCGGGUAUUAGGUUAUGGGGCUAGGGUAAGGUUUAAGGUUUUUGGCGUUAGGGUUGAAAUCACUGUCCAAA